CCUACGGGUGGGCAGCAGUGGGGAAUAUUGGACAAUGGGCGAAAGCCUGAUCCAGCCAUGCCGCGUGUGUGAAGAAGGCCUUCGGGUUGUAAAGCACUUUCAGUGGGGAAGAAAGCCUUGGGGCUAAUACCCUCGAGGAAGGACAUCACCCACAGAAGAAGCACCGGCUAACUCCGUGCCAGCAGCCGCGGUAAUACGGAGGGUGCGAGCGUUAAUCGGAAUUACUGGGCGUAAAGCGCGCGUAGGCGGUCUGAUAAGCCGGUUGUGAAAGCCCCGGGCUCAACCUGGGAACGGCAUCCGGAACUGUCAGGCUAGAGUGCAGGAGAGGAAGGUAGAAUUCCCGGUGUAGCGGUGAAAUGCGUAGAGAUCGGGAGGAAUACCAGUGGCGAAGGCGGCCUUCUGGACUGACACUGACGCUGAGGUGCGAAAGCGUGGGUAGCAAACAGGAUUAGAUACCCCUGUAGUC
rnacentral:rRNA from 1 species